UUGCAGAAUUCCGCGAAUCAUCGAGUUUUUGAACGCAAGUUGCGCCCGAGGCUUGACCAAG
rnacentral:rRNA from 1 species